UGUGUCUGUGUGUCAUUUUAUGACUGUGACUGUGUAUUGAUGUGACUGUGUGUAUGUAUGUGUGUGUGUUGACUGUGACUGUGUGUCAUUGUGCAAGCGCUCCAUAACUACCUAUUGGCACCUGAUAAUGCAUGGAAAUCUCUGUAGUUGGUAGUAUCAUUGCCCUUUGGACACUCCUCAAUGCAUUGCUGUAUAUUUUCCUGCCACAAGUAUUAUGUUUGUGCUCAGAAUGAUGUAUACGUAGAAUCCAGGGUGGAUGGAGGUUUUCAUGAUGGCUAAUUUGAUUUGUUAUGGUUCUGAUGGUGUGCUUCUUGUGUUUGAACUGAAGUCGUGGAUCACUCAUCAACCUGGUCUGUGUUUGUAUGGUAACCCCUCUCGAAUUUAACUCCUUUCAAUUUUGUACACAAUAUUUGUGCAUAUCCCACAUUUUAGCUAGUUAUAUAGUAAUACCAUGCUUCUUUGGACAUUGUUCUAUAUAUGCAAGUGUGGUGAGCUCACAUGUUGUGUCAGUAUCUACCUACGCAGCUGAAUUAUUUCCGGAUAGGAUAGAGGUGCAAUGUUUACAUCCAUGGCAGAAGGUUCUUUAACACUGAACUCAUCAAAGAUCCUUGGAAUCGAGAGGUUACGUGGACGUAUAGGCAAGCAAUGCCGGGAGAGAACUUCUUGCUGCUGAUCCUGGGAUGUUUCCGAACAUGCUCCCGAACAUGUUCAAUUUAUCCGCCCUAGGACAGCCACUGCCUUGACACAGCAGGCUGCUCGGCAUGCUCGGCGUGUUUACGUCGGUGGACUUCCUCCAAUCGCUAAUGAACAGACGGUUGCUCUAUUCUUCAAUCAAGUUAUGACUGCUAUUUUGGUCUGGGUGAUGCAGUUGCUAAUAUGAAGCUGUGAAUUUUGAAUUCAUACAAACAUCUUAGCUGGCACAAUCAUCUGAAUCCAAACAUAUGGAACGAUGCUUGGACUGCUGAGGAGGAACAUGCACUGAUUAAUGCCAUCAGGUAUAUGGGAAUAAAUGAGCAGAAAUAGCAGAAGUUUUUCCUGGUAGGUACUGCCAAACAACUUACAUCAUGGGUCUUACACUUAGUUUUUGAAUUUA